UACGAAGGGGGCUAGCGUUGCUCGGAAUCGAUACGUGGGCGUAAAGGGUGGCGUUAAGGCGGGUUUUAAGUCAGAGGAUUGAAAUCCUAGGAGCUCAACUCCAGAACCUGCCUUUGAUACUGAAACGUCUUGAGUAUUGGGAGAGGUGAGUGGAACUGCGAGUGUAGAGGUGAAAUUCGUAGAUAUUCGCAAGAACACCAAGUG
rnacentral:rRNA from 1 species